rnacentral:ncRNA from 1 species
CCGCCCAUCCGGGGCCUCGGAUACCUGCUCUUAUUUUU